rnacentral:rRNA from 1 species
AUGAUGGGGGAUUGGGCGAGUCGGCCUGCGCGGAAGAUGUAACGGGGCUAAACCAUGCACCGAAGCUGCGGCAGCGACGCUUAUGCGUUGUUGGGUAGGGGAGCGUUCUGUAAGCCUGUGAAGGUGUACUGUGAGGUAUGCUGGAGGUAUCAGAAGUGCGAAUGCUGACAUAAGUAACGAUAAAGCGGGUGAAAAGCCCGCUCGCCGGAAGACCAAGGGUUCCUGUCCAACGUUAAUCGGGGCAGGGUGAGUCGACCCCUAAGG